UGGGGAAUAUUGGACAAUGGGGGCAACCCUGAUCCAGCAAUGCCGCGUGUGUGAAGAAGGCCUUCGGGUUGUAAAGCACUUUUGGUCAGGGAGGAAGGUGUGUUGUUUAAGUAGAUGACACAUUUGACUGUACCUGCAGAAUAAGCACCGGCUAACUCUGUGCCAGCAGCCGCGGUAAUACAGAGGGUGCAAGCGUUAAUCGGAAUUACUGGGCGUAAAGGGCGCGUAGGCGGUUAUGUAAGUGAGAUGUGAAAUCCCUGGGCUUAACCUAGGAACUGCAUCUCAUACUGUGUGACUAGAGUAUUGUAGAGGGUAGUGGAAUUUCCGGUGUAGCGGUGAAAUGCGUAGAGAUCGGAAGGAACACCAGUGGCGAAGGCGGCUACCUGGACAAAUACUGACGCUGAUGCGCGAGAGCGUGGGGAGCAAACAGGAUUAGAUACCCUGGUAGUCCACGCUGUAAACGAU
rnacentral:rRNA from 1 species